GGACUGUCAGCACUAAAUGAAGAUCUCCAGGGGCUCACCGCUGAAGUUGAUCACUGUUUAUGUAAAUGCUAUACCUGCAGUAUGACUGCACCUGGAUCCAUUCAGCUCUCUUCAAAGGACUUACAAGAGGCAGAAACUAUGGACAAAUGGAGGAAUAUGUUCCCAUGAGGGGAACCCAGCCAUGGGCACAUCAAUGAAGCAAAAUUUCUGCCAUCUUCUUUAGGUGAAGUCGGUCAUUCCCAGGACAGCUGAGAUGCCUGAGACAGCCUAGAUGCCCCCAAAGCAUUAAAUUGUGAGACUCAAGUGGUACAUCCUCCCUCUGAUCACCACAGUUAAAGCACCAUGACGGAUGAAAGAGAAGCUGGUAUCUCAAAAGACUGGAAUAGCUUUUGCAGUCUUGUGGAAUGGAAGAAUCAGUGAUGUGGUAAUGGGUAGACCAUUCAGCUGCUCCUUGACAGCUGCUCCUGCAUUUUCACCUAUGAAGCUGCUAACAAGAAGAAAACUGAUAAAGGAAAAACCGUGGUUGUCCUGGCUCAUCAGGCAUGGUUUUCAGCAUUUCUGUGGCAGUGCUGAGGACUUGAGUCAGAUCUCCUUAGGCAUGGAGCACUUCAGCCCUGUUCUGGUCACUUACGACAAGAAGACUGGAAGCAUGAAAAAGAUGCUUCUGCCCAGCCUGCAUGGAUACUUUACACUUCCAGAAGAAUGAUUCUGUGUGAUUAAAACAAAAGUAGG
rnacentral:lncRNA from 1 species